GACGAACGCUGGCGGCGUGCUUAACACAUGCAAUUCGAACGGAAAGGCCUUCUUUUUUUGGGUGCUUCGGGGGGCUAACGGGUAGUAAACCCGUGAUUAACCUGCCUUUUCUUUUGGGAUACUUCCAGUAACCUGGGGCAAUUCCCGGUUAGGGCCUCUUGCGCCUUGGUGGGGUUUGUAAGGUUUCGGCGGUUGGGGUUGGCGUCGCGGCUUAUCUGCUUGUUGGUGGGGUAGUGGCUUACCAAGGCUUUGACGGGUAGCCGGCCUGAGAGGGUGACCGGCCACAUUGGGACUGAGAUACGGCCCAGACUCCUACGGGAGGCAGCAGUGGGGAAUAUUGCACAAUGGGCGGAAGCCUGAUGCAGCAACGCCGCGUGCGGGAUGACGGCCUUCGGGUUGUAAACCGCUUUCGCCUGUGACGAAGCGUGAGUGACGGUAAUGGGUAAAGAAGCACCGGCUAACUACGUG
rnacentral:rRNA from 1 species